UACAGAGGUCCCAAGCGUUGUUCGGAUUCAUUGGGCGUAAAGCGCGUGUAGGCGGCCCGGUAAGUCCGUUGUGAAAGUCAAAGGCUCAACCUUUGAACGCCGAUGGAUACUGCCGGGCUAGAGUCCGGAAGAGGCGAGUGGAAUUCCUGGUGUAGCGGUGGAAUGCGCAGAUAUCAGGAGGAACACCAAUAGCGAAGGCAGCUCGCUGGGACGGUACUGACGCUGAGACGCGAAAGCGUGGGGAGCGAACAGG
rnacentral:rRNA from 1 species